CGGUGCCCGUCCCCGCGCUCGGCCCCGAUCCUCUCCCGGCGCCGGUCCCCGGGUCUGUCCCGCUGGCGCUCGGGGUGACGGUCUCGGUCCGGGCGGGGCUGCCGCUCCGGGUCCCGCUCUUUCGGCCGGGCCCGGGGCUCGCGAGCCCCCGGCGUAUCUCCCAUGGCGCGCUCCCGCGUCCGCGCCCCGGAGCGACCCGAGGGCAACAACCCACCGCAAGUUUCCCGGGCAGCCGUCUCUUCCUUCCUCUAGCUCGCUCUCCGCCCCGCCGUCCUUCUAACUGUGUCGUCCAGGGGCCUUGAGGCCAGUUCAUCUACUACAACAGUGUCAGACUUUCAAAACGACUACGCAGAACACGCGGCUUUUCCUUUUUUGCCAAAACCCUUGACAUUAUGCACAUGGUGGAAGGUAACAAGGAUGGGAGCUCUUUUCUGAGGAAACUUCUUGAUUGUUCAACCAAAGCAAAGAGCACCAUGAGCAGACGGCCAAAGAGCAGAAAAAGAAAGUACUCGCCAUUGGUGUGUUAACAAGAAAUAUCCUAAAAAGGUAAGAUCACAGUUCUCAUUCAGAUAUAAAAUGGACACAUGCUAAACAUUUUAUGUAACUCAGUCAUCACUGAAGGAAUCAGGCAGGUGUUACAACAGAUUCAAAAGAAAAUCCAAAGAACAUACCCAGUGUAGAUCAGGAAUGAUAAAUGAGCGUACGAAGGAGGCAAAACUGAUUGCUUGCAAGGAGGAAAGGGAAAAUCAGUUGAAUCUUUACCAGACAAAAUAGAAUUUGCAUCUCUAUAGGCAAAACUUUUUUUCUUUUGCAUUGCUAUCGAUUAUCUACAAUGCAGAGUUGUAAAAUAACAGUUUUCUGCUGAAGCACAAAGGCAAGGGCAUUGCCUUCACUUAAACUGGGAAAGUGGGAUGCUUUGUGGGUUUGGGAAAAUGUAGCUGAGAGGCUAGCCCUGAGGAGAAAUAGUAUACCCGGCCUCUUCUGACUUAGCAGGCUCACAAAAGCCUGUGCAUCUGCAUUUUUUUUGUGCAUCUGCAUUUUUUAAUAGUUCCAUGAAGCAUCCCGUUUGAGAACUAAUUUAUUAAUAUAAAUUAGCAUUCAAUUUUCCAUCCUAAAGGAGAGCCUAACCUAAUGUGAAACUAAUCCAAAUUCUCACCUAAAUUUUUUCCUAAAAAUAAACAUUUCAGGACACCUGGAUGGCUCAGUGGUUGAGCAUCUACCUU